AUCUUUUUCUUUCAUUUUAGAACCAAAGAAUGGGAAAGCACUUCCGGAAGUGCUGACCCCUGAGAUUUCCCAAAAGUGGGAAACUCAAUGCAUAAUUUGUAGUAGUGGGGGAACUGCGUUCAUCCUCUCCCAGG
rnacentral:snRNA from 1 species